GAGUUAGCAGAUAUGACCUAAGGCUGCAGCCUCCCCUUCACAAGCCCAACAGUUGUGUCACCUGAGGUCACAAUGGGGUUCACGUUGUCACUCGGAGUCCUGGGGAUGCUGAAAUUCUGCCUGCCACUUCCCAGGCUGGGGACCAGCCGGCACAGCUCCUGAAGGACCCGCCAGCUCGCACAUUCCCCCACCAGAGAGACAGCAGCAGCCUGGGGAUAAAAUCUUAUCUUAGCAAAAACAUACUACUUGAUGCAACAGAGCUGAAUCCUCAGUGAAAGAAAACACAAAGCUGCCUGUAAUGUCUUAAUGCAUGCCUUGUAUAUAAAUACUAUUUUCCAAGCA